rnacentral:tRNA from 1 species
GGGGAUGUAGGUCAGUGGUAGAGCAUUCGCCUGGUAUGCCAGAGACCGUAGGUUCAAUUCCCAGCACCA